UCCGCGGUAGCUCAGCGGUAGAGCAAUUGGCUGUUAACCAAUGGGUCGUCGGUUCGAAUCCGACCCGCGGAGCCA
rnacentral:tRNA from 1 species